UUUAGACUAAAUGUAUCGGCCUACAAUGCGUUCAUCAUCUGGUCGGAGAUUUUUCCUGAGUGGAAUGUGUCAAAGCUGUACAAGAGGCGCAUCUUCCACAAGAAGCUGGGGAAAGCACUCGUGGUACCGCAUAUACAACGGAGGCAGCACAAGGACCCCAGCCACUGCAGCCACAGUGAGGGAGAUCCAGGAGAGGGCUGCACCUAGUACACCAGUGCCUGAGGUUGCUGCUGGGGGAAGAAGGAAGUGGAAAAGGUGCCAGAUCUCAGAAGUUGGAGAAGAUCAGAGGUGUGCUGCUAGAAGAGAUCCACAACUUGGAGAAGGACAACUCCGACCUGAA